UCAAGAGCCCACUUUGUUGUCGUCUCUCGAAACCGAGUAUCCCUACUCUGCAUUUAAGUCUAAAAUCAAAGAAGCUGUUGUAUAUUUGAAUUAAAUGUUCGUUAAUAUUUGCAUGGAUGCCAUCCGCGAAAAUUUCUAAGUUCCCUUGUCGAGGUCCAAAGCACAACUGAACUAGUAACUGCAAAGGUCGGUUCAAGACCCCACUUUGUUGUCGUCUCUCGUAACCGAGUAUCCCUACUCCGCAUUUAAGUCUAAAAUCAAAGAUGCUGUUGUAUAUUUGAAGUAACUGUUCGUUAAUACUUGAAUGGAUGCCAUCCGCGAAAAUUUCUAAGUUCCCUUGUCGAGGUCCAAAGCACAACUGAACUAGUAACUGCAAAGGUCGGUUCAAGACCCCACUUUGUUGUCGUCUCUCGUAACCGAGUAUCCCUACUCCGCAUUUAAGUCUAAAAUCAAAGAAGCUGUUGUAUAUUUGAAUUAACUGCUCGUUAAUACUUGCAUGGAUGCCAUCCGCAAAAAUUUCUAAGUUCCCUUGUCGAGGUCCAAAGCACAACUGAACUAGUAACUGCAAAGGUCGGUUCAAGACCCCACUUUGUUGUCGUCUCUCGUAACCGAGUAUCCCUACUCCGCAUUUAAGUCUAAAAUCAAAGAUGCUGUUGUAUAUUUGAAGUAACUGUUCGUUAAUACUUGAAUGGAUGCCAUCCGCGAAAAUUUCUAAGUUCCCUUGUCGAGGUCCAAAGCACAACUGAACUAGUAACUGCAAAGGUCGGUUCAAGACCCCACUUUGUUGUCGUCUCUCGUAACCGAGUAUCCCUACUCCGCAUUUAAGUCUAAAAUCAAAGAAGCUGUUGUAUAUUUGAAGUAACUGUUCGUUAAUACUUGAAUGGAUGCCAUCCGCGAAAAUUUCUAAGUUCCCUUGUCGUGGUCCAAAGCACAACUGAACUAGUAACUGCAAAGGUCGGUUCAAGACCCCACUUUGUUGUCGUCUCUCGUAACCGAGUAUCCCUACUCCGCAUUUAAGUCUAAAAUCAAAGAUGCUGUUGUAUAUUUGAAGUAACUGUUCGUUAAUACUUGAAUGGAUGCCAUCCGCGAAAAUUUCUAAGUUCCCUUGUCGAGGUCCAAAGCACAACUGAACUAGUAACUGCAAAGGUCGGUUCAAGACCCCACUUUGUUGUCGUCUCUCGUAACCGAGUAUCCCUACUCCGCAUUUAAGUCUAAAAUCAAAGAAGCUGUUGUAUAUUUGAAUUAAAUGUUCGUUAAUACUUGCAUGGAUGCCAUCCGCGAAAAUUUCUAAGUUCCCUUGUCGAGGUCCAAAGCACAACUGAACUAGUAACUGCAAAGGUCGGUUCAAGACCCCACUUUGUUGUCGUCUCUCGUAACCGAGUAUCCCUACUCCGCAUUUAAGUCUAAAAUCAAAGAAGCUGUUGUAUAUUUGAAGUAACUGUUCGUUAAUACUUGAAUGGAUGCCAUCCACGAAAAUUUCUAAGUUCCCUUGUCGAGGUCCAAAGCACAACUGAACUAGUAACUGCAAAGGUCGGUUCAAGACCCCACUUUGUUGUCGUCUCUCGUAACCGAGUAUCCCUACUCCGCAUUUAAGUCUAAAAUCAAAGAAGCUGUUGUAUAUUUGAAUUAAAUGUUCGUUAAUACUUGAAUGGAUGCCAUCCGCGAAAAUUUCUAAGUUCCCUUGUCGAGGUCCAAAGCACAACUGAACUAGUAACUGCAAAGGUCGGUUCAAGACCCCACUUUGUUGUCGUCUCUCGUAACCGAGUAUCCCUACUCCGCAUUUAAGUCUAAAAUCAAAGAAGCUGUUGUAUAUUUGAAUUAAAUGUUCGUUAAUACUUGCAUGGAUGCCAUCCGCGAAAAUUUCUAAGUUCCCUUGUCGAGGUCCAAAGCACAACUGAACUAGUAACUGCAAAGGUCGGUUCAAGACCCCACUUUGUUGUCGUCUCUCGUAACCGAGUAUCCCUACUCCGCAUUUAAGUCUAAAAUCAAAGAAGCUGUUGUAUAUUUGAAGUAACUGUUCGUUAAUACUUGAAUGGAUGCCAUCCACGAAAAUUUCUAAGUUCCCUUGUCGAGGUCCAAAGCACAACUGAACUAGUAACUGCAAAGGUCGGUUCAAGAGCCCACUUUGUUGUCGUCUCUCGAAACCGAGUAUCCCUACUCUGCAUUUAAGUCUAAAAUCAAAGAAGCUGUUGUAUAUUUGAAUUAAAUGUUCGUUAAUACUUGCAUGGAUGCCAUCCGCGAAAAUUUCUAAGUUCCCUUGUCGAGGUCCAAAGCACAACUGAACUAGUAACUGCAAAGGUCGGUUCAAGACCCCACUUUGUUGUCGUCUCUCGUAACCGAGUAUCCCUACUCCGCAUUUAAGUCUAAAAUCAAAGAAGCUGUUGUAUAUUUGAAUUAACUGCUCGUUAAUACUUGCAUGGAUGCCAUCCGCAAAAAUUUCUAAGUUCCCUUGUCGAGGUCCAAAGCACAACUGAACUAGUAACUGCAAAGGUCGGUUCAAGACCCCACUUUGUUGUCGUCUCUCGUAACCGAGUAUCCCUACUCCGCAUUUAAGUCUAAAAUCAAAGAAGCUGUUGUAUAUUUGAAGUAACUGUUCGUUAAUACUUGAAUGGAUGCCAUCCGCGAAAAUUUCUAAGUUCCCUUGUCGAGGUCCAAAGCACAACUGAACUAGUAACUGCAAAGGUCGGUUCAAGACCCCACUUUGUUGUCGUCUCUCGUAACCGAGUAUCCCUACUCCGCAUUUAAGUUUAAAAUCAAAGAAGCUGUUGUAUAUUUGAAGUAACUGUUCGUUAAUACUUGAAUGGAUGCCAUCCGCGAAAAUUUCUAAGUUCCCUUGUCGAGGUCCAAAGCACAACUGAACUAGUAACUGCAAAGGUCGGUUCAAGACCCCACUUUGUUGUCGUCUCUCGUAACCGAGUAUCCCUACUCCGCAUUUAAGUUUAAAAUCAAAGAAGCUGUUGUAUAUUUGAAGUAACUGUUCGUUAAUACUUGAAUGGAUGCCAUCCGCGAAAAUUUCUAAGUUCCCUUGUCGUGGUCCAAAGCACAACUGAACUAGUAACUGCAAAGGUCGGUUCAAGACCCCACUUUGUUGUCGUCUCUCGUAACCGAGUAUCCCUACUCCGCAUUUAAGUCUAAAAUCAAAGAAGCUGUUGUAUAUUUGAAUUAAAUGUUCGUUAAUACUUGAAUGGAUGCCAUCCGCGAAAAUUUCUAAGUUCCCUUGUCGAGGUCCAAAGCACAACUGAACUAGUAACUGCAAAGGUCGGUUCAAGACCCCACUUUGUUGUCGUCUCUCGUAACCGAGUAUCCCUACUCCGCAUUUAAGUCUAAAAUCAAAGAAGCUGUUGUAUAUUUGAAUUAAAUGUUCGUUAAUACUUGCAUGGAUGCCAUCCGCGAAAAUUUCUAAGUUCCCUUGUCGAGGUCCAAAGCACAACUGAACUAGUAACUGCAAAGGUCGGUUCAAGACCCCACUUUGUUGUCGUCUCUCGUAACCGAGUAUCCCUACUCCGCAUUUAAGUCUAAAAUCAAAGAAGCUGUUGUAUAUUUGAAGUAACUGUUCGUUAAUACUUGAAUGGAUGCCAUCCACGAAAAUUUCUAAGUUCCCUUGUCGAGGUCCAAAGCACAACUGAACUAGUAACUGCAAAGGUCGGUUCAAGAGCCCACUUUGUUGUCGUCUCUCGAAACCGAGUAUCCCUACUCUGCAUUUAAGUCUAAAAUCAAAGAAGCUGUUGUAUAUUUGAAUUAAAUGUUCGUUAAUACUUGCAUGGAUGCCAUCCGCGAAAAUUUCUAAGUUCCCUUGUCGAGGUCCAAAGCACAACUGAACUAGUAACUGCAAAGGUCGGUUCAAGACCCCACUUUGUUGUCGUCUCUCGUAACCGAGUAUCCCUACUCCGCAUUUAAGUCUAAAAUCAAAGAAGCUGUUGUAUAUUUGAAUUAACUGCUCGUUAAUACUUGCAUGGAUGCCAUCCGCAAAAAUUUCUAAGUUCCCUUGUCGAGGUCCAAAGCACAACUGAACUAGUAACUGCAAAGGUCGGUUCAAGACCCCACUUUGUUGUCGUCUCUCGUAACCGAGUAUCCCUACUCCGCAUUUAAGUCUAAAAUCAAAGAAGCUGUUGUAUAUUUGAAGUAACUGUUCGUUAAUACUUGAAUGGAUGCCAUCCGCGAAAAUUUCUAAGUUCCCUUGUCGAGGUCCAAAGCACAACUGAACUAGUAACUGCAAAGGUCGGUUCAAGACCCCACUUUGUUGUCGUCUCUCGUAACCGAGUAUCCCUACUCCGCAUUUAAGUUUAAAAUCAAAGAAGCUGUUGUAUAUUUGAAGUAACUGUUCGUUAAUACUUGAAUGGAUGCCAUCCGCGAAAAUUUCUAAGUUCCCUUGUCGAGGUCCAAAGCACAACUGAACUAGUAACUGCAAAGGUCGGUUCAAGACCCCACUUUGUUGUCGUCUCUCGUAACCGAGUAUCCCUACUCCGCAUUUAAGUUUAAAAUCAAAGAAGCUGUUGUAUAUUUGAAGUAACUGUUCGUUAAUACUUGAAUGGAUGCCAUCCGCGAAAAUUUCUAAGUUCCCUUGUCGUGGUCCAAAGCACAACUGAACUAGUAACUGCAAAGGUCGGUUCAAGACCCCACUUUGUUGUCGUCUCUCGUAACCGAGUAUCCCUACUCCGCAUUUAAGUUUAAAAUCAAAGAAGCUGUUGUAUAUUUGAAGUAACUGUUCGUUAAUACUUGAAUGGAUGCCAUCCGCGAAAAUUUCUAAGUUCCCUUGUCGAGGUCCAAAGCACAACUGAACUAGUAACUGCAAAGGUCGGUUCAAGACCCCACUUUGUUGUCGUCUCUCGUAACCGAGUAUCCCUACUCCGCAUUUAAGUCUAAAAUCAAAGAAGCUGUUGUAUAUUUGAAGUAACUGUUCGUUAAUACUUGAAUGGAUGCCAUCCACGAAAAUUUCUAAGUUCCCUUGUCGAGGUCCAAAGCACAACUGAACUAGUAACUGCAAAGGUCGGUUCAAGACCCCACUUUGUUGUCGUCUCUCGUAACCGAGUAUCCCUACUCCGCAUUUAAGUCUAAAAUCAAAGAUGCUGUUGUAUAUUUGAAGUAACUGUUCGUUAAUACUUGAAUGGAUGCCAUCCGCGAAAAUUUCUAAGUUCCCUUGUCGAGGUCCAAAGCACAACUGAACUAGUAACUGCAAAGGUCGGUUCAAGACCCCACUUUGUUGUCGUCUCUCGUAACCGAGUAUCCCUACUCCGCAUUUAAGUCUAAAAUCAAAGAAGCUGUUGUAUAUUUGAAUUAACUGCUCGUUAAUACUUGCAUGGAUGCCAUCCGCAAAAAUUUCUAAGUUCCCUUGUCGAGGUCCAAAGCACAACUGAACUAGUAACUGCAAAGGUCGGUUCAAGACCCCACUUUGUUGUCGUCUCUCGUAACCGAGUAUCCCUACUCCGCAUUUAAGUCUAAAAUCAAAGAAGCUGUUGUAUAUUUGAAUUAAAUGUUCGUUAAUACUUGAAUGGAUGCCAUCCGCGAAAAUUUCUAAGUUCCCUUGUCGAGGUCCAAAGCACAACUGAACUUGUAA